rnacentral:rRNA from 1 species
CAAGGAUUACGAAUUCGAGCUCGGUACCCGGGGAUCCUCUAGAGAUUGGUUACCUUGGUUACGACUUAGUCCCAAUCGCCAGUCCCACCUUCGACAGCUCCCUCCCACAAGGGGUUAGGCCACCGGCUUCGGGUGUUACCAACUUUCGUGACUUGACGGGCGGUGUGUACAAGGCCCGGGAACGUAUUCACCGCUGCGUUGCUGAUCUGCGAUUACUAGCGACUCCGACUUCAUGGGGUCGAGUUGCAGACCCCAAUCCGAACUGAGACCGGCUUUUUGGGAUUAGCUCCACCUCACAGUAUCGCAACCCUUUGUACCGGCCAUUGUAGCAUGCGUGAAGCCCAAGACAUAAGGGGCAUGAUGAUUUGACGUCGUCCCCACCUUCCUCCGAGUUGACCCCGGCAGUCUCCUAUGAGUCCCCACCAUAACGUGCUGGCAACAUAGAACGAGGGCUGCGCUCGUUGCGGGGACUUACCCAACAUCUCACGACACGAGCUGACGACAACCAUGCACCACCCUGAUCAACCGACCGCAAGCGGGGCACUUGUUUCCAAGCGUUUCCAGUUUCAUGUCAAGCCUUGGUAUGGUUCUUCGCGUUGCAUCGAAUUAAUCCGCAUGCUCCGCCGCUUGUGCGGGCCCCCGUCAAUUCCUUUGAGUUUUAGCCUUGCGGCCGUACUCCCCAGGCGGGGCACUUAAUGCGUUGGCUACGGCGCGGAAAACGUGGAAUGUCCCCCACACCUAGUGCCCAACGUUUACGGCAUGGACUAACAGGGUAUCUAAUCCUGUUCGCUCCCCAUGCUUUCGCUCCUCAGCGUCAGUUAAUGCCCAGAGACCUGCCAUCGCCAUCGGUGUUCCUCCUGAUAUCUGCGCAUUUCACCGCUACACCAGGAAUUYCCAGUCUCCCCUACAUCACUCUAGUCUGCCCGUACCCACCGCAGAUCCGGAGUUGAGCCCCGGACUUUCACGGCAGACGCGACAAACCGCUACGAGCUCUUUACGCCCAAUAAUUCCGGAUAAGCUUGCGCCCUACGUAUUACCGCGGCUGCUGGCACGUAGUUAGCCGGCGCUUCUUCUGCAAGUACCCUCAACCAACUAAACAUUGGCCUUGUUCCCUACUGAAAGAGGUUUACAACCCGAAGGCCGUCAUCCCUCACGC